UUCGGGGGACAGGGUGACAGGUGGUGCAUGGUUGUCGUCAGCUCGUGUCGUGAGAUGUUGGGUUAAGUCCCGCAACGAGCGCAACCCUCGACCUUAGUUGCCAGCAUUCAGUUGGGCACUCUAAGGUGACUGCCGGCUAAAAGUCGGAGGAAGUGGGGAUGACGUCAAAUCAUCAUGCCCCUUAUGACCUGGGCUACACACGUGCUACAAUGGGCGGUACAAAGGGUCGCGAACCCGCGAGGGGGAGCCAAUCCCAAAAAGCCGCUCUCAGUUCGGAUUGCAGGCUGCAACUCGCCUGCAUGAAGGUGGAAUCGCUAGUAAUCGCGGAUCAGCAUGCCGCGGUGAAUACGUUCCCGGGCCUU
rnacentral:rRNA from 1 species